UAGAUUAAAUCUAGAAUAUUUGUCUUUUAAAUAUUUAAAUAAUAAUAAUUCAUUUGAUUUAUUUAAUUAUAAAGAAGAAAUAAGAUGUGUAGAGAAAUUAAUAGCACUGUUGGAAUUAAGGAAAAUAUGGAGGAUACGAAAGGGAUAAAAGGACAAGUUGGAGGGCAAAAGGGGAAAAGUCUAUUUGGAAGGAAAUAUAUCUUGGAAUAAAAUAAGGAUUUGGAGAACUUGA
rnacentral:lncRNA from 1 species